GGGGGUGUAAUGGUUUCGACAUUGUAGGGUGUUAUGGGUAUGCAUAUCGCGUGGUGACGUGUAAAUACACAAAACUUUUAAAUAAAUAACAACAAUAGAGUUGCUGUUGCUGCGUAAUCGCGCAACCGUCAGUUUGCUAGUACCGAUAUGGCAAAGUCUGGCGUCGGUUAUCGGUCCACGAUUUUGUGUUUUGCCUAGGGCAUAAAAUUGUAUUUUUAGGCUGGUUUUGCAAGGUGGUUGAAGCACCUCGGCAAAAUAAGACCAAUUCUUCAACUAAGUAUGUAGAGUAUGUAUAACAUUUUAUGAUGGACAUGGGUUCGACUCCCAUCACCUCCACCA
rnacentral:tmRNA from 1 species